AGAGUUUUCCGAAGGAGGUAUAACAUACUCAGUAGUCAAAGUUAAACAUUCUUCAGAUAUGCAGGAUAAAAAAGAAACUGGAAUGCUGAAGAUUAAAGUUCUUUGUCUUGAGGAUAUACUAAGAAAAACUAUUGAAAAUGGAACUGUACAUUGCAGAAAUAUAUAGCAAAGGCAGGAUAACCGGGUCUUUGAAGAAAAAUCUUUAACUUAUUUCUCCGGAAAAUACAAUCUUUGCAGCAAAGAAAUUUUUCUGAAGCACUGAGCUCCACUAUUAUCAAGAUGAAUAGCAUGGAAGAAUUGGAAAUAUGGAGUAUAGUAUUCAUGUCUUUUCUUUAACCAGAGCACUUUGGGUUGCAUUGGAUCGACCUUCUUGUGGUGCAUCCCGUGAGUACCCAUUCAUUGGGGA